rnacentral:sRNA from 1 species
CCGAGAGUAGCGCUUUAACCCAUAAACCUACGAGUCCUCUGCCUGGAGAUGGAAGGGUUUCUGACUCCACCACGCACACAACAAGCAGGUCCCAUGACAGAACACCCGUAAGGACACAGAGACCCUAAACAGCGGGAGCAACCGGCUCUUAAGUCUAUCAACAUUUAUAGAAAACGCAUCUGAAAAUCACCAGACCAUUCCUUCGUCACAAAGCCACUGGGAUGAGGUAGGUACACUCUUUAAAAGAAUAGAAAUUCUGAGCUGCUUGAACAGCGGCUGGAUACAACACAAAUGUCUCAUAGUCCUAGGGGUGAGGUGCUAAUGAAAUCCUGGUGUUGGCAGGGACAUGUCCUUUCAAGGCCUGCAAACGGGGAGGGACUUUAUUUGCCUCCCUCUGGUUUCUACCUGUGACUCACUGAUUUGAUUUCCUUGGCUCCAUCUCUCCACACACUCUCUCUUCUGCCAGAGAUGCCUUACUCCAUGCCCCAAAUCCCCAUAGAGUCUUUUGAGUGGAGUCUGUUUUUAGGAAACUAGGGCAGGUGUCCUGCUGCCUGCAUUCAUGGCCUUCUAACCAUUUUCAUGCCUGGCACAUUAAUCGGUUCUCUCUCUUUCUCCCAUUUCCCUCCAUUUUUGCAUGUUUUUACAUGUUUGCAUGUGUGUGUGCAUGCACAUGUGAGUGUCUGUGCACAUGGGUGCACGUGUAUAUAGAGGCCCAAGGCUGUCAGGAAUCAUAUUCAUUCACCUUAUUCAUGGAGGCAAGGAUUCUCAAUCAAAUCCAGAGCUUGCUGAUAGAGCUAGUCCUGCUGGUCGCUUGCUCUGGGGGACACUUGUCUCUGUGACACUGGGAUUACAUGUAGGCUGCCACAUCCACCCAGCAUUCACAUGGGUUCUAGAGGAUCCCCGAGCUCUGCCUAAUGUGUGUCUGUGGGUCUCUGCAUUUGUUUCCAUGAGUUGCUGGGUGAAGCCUCUCCAAUGACACUUAUGCUAGGCCCCUGUCACAUAUGUUUGUUUUAAUGUACUUAUUCAUUUAAAAGAUGGAUCUAAAUGAGCCAAAUGAUUUUUCUAAAUAUGAAGUUCUAUGGCACAGUAACUGGUCUCGAGCAUGUAUGUCCUAGUUAGGAGGAGUAAACAAAGCAUUAAUGAAUACUUCCUUUCAUUUUCAAAUUCUGUAGAAAACUAAAUUAGACGGGUAGAAUGUUAGGUACUUACAAUUAGAAUAGUCAUUUACUGCAGUUGUCACUAUAUAGGUGCUAGAAAUCAAACCCAGGACCUCUGGAAAAGCAGUCAGUUCUCUUAACUGCUGGACCAUCUCUCCAGCCCCAGAACAUGAUAUAUAUUUUAUUAUUACAUCAACAGAUGCCCUUCCACAAUAUAUGACCUAACUGUCAAAGCACCGGUUUUAUUUCCAUCACCUAUGACUGACCCUUCAUCUCCAUGGUCAUCUUCUCUAUAUAUAGAACACGGUAUACAGAACUGGGUGGAUCUAUUCCACUCUAGCCCAAUGCUUGGGCCGUUGUUCUACCUCCCUGUUCUUAUUACAGAAUACUGCAAUGAUUUUUCUAAACCAUUUUUCUUUUCUACAUUUCAUUUUUUUUAAUUCUCCUUCUUUUGCCUUUACCAGAUAAUCCAAAAGAAAUCUAAAAAUUCCUAUUUUAACAUAUUUUUACUCUGCAUGUUGAAUUCCUCUCAGACCAAUGACUUAACUUCUCCACAUCUGUGUUCAACAUACAAAUUUACUGAAGAUGAAUGGGGUUCAAUUUAGCUUCCAUUCUCAACCCGGGAAACCAACAAAAGAGAGUCAAUCUCCUGACUUGAGUUUUUUUUAACACAGCUUCAUUAUUUUGAUAUGAAUUCCCUAGACAUUAGACUCAGACAUAUUCAAAUCUAAGGGCAAAUGCACUCCAAAGAUAAAUAUAAAUUACUUUGCAAUUACUCAACUUCUUCCUCUUUUAAUACAGACAAUUGCAUUGACAUAUUUUA